rnacentral:rRNA from 1 species
GACGAACGCUGGCGGCGUGCUUAACACAUGCAAGUCGAACGGAAAGGCCCUGCUUUUGUGGGGUGCUCGAGUGGCGAACGGGUGAGUAACACGUGAGUAACCUGCCCUUGACUUUGGGAUAACUUCAGGAAACUGGGGCUAAUACCGGAUAGGAGCUCCUGCUGCAUGGUGGGGUUUGGAAAGUUUCGGCGGUUGGGGAUGGACUCGCGGCUUAUCAGCUUGUUGGUGGGGUAGUGGCUUACCAAGGCUUUGACGGGUAGCCGGCCUGAGAGGGUGACCGGCCACAUGAGGACUGAGAUACGGCACAGACUCCUACGGGAGGCAGCAGUGGGGAAUAUUGCACAAUGGGCGGAAGCCUGAUGCAGCAACGCCGCGUGCGGGAUGACGGCCUUCGGGUUGUAAACCGCUUUCGCCUGUGACGAAGCGUGAGUGACGGUAAUGGGUAAAGAAGCACCGGCUAACUACGUG